rnacentral:rRNA from 1 species
GAUGAACGCUGGCGGUAUGCCUAACACAUGCAAGUCGUACGAGAGUUUUUAACUCUAGUGGCGGACGGGUGAGUAACACGUGAGAAUUUGCCUUUAGGAGGGGGACAACAAUCGGAAACGAAUGCUAAUACCCCAUAUGCUUUUGAGUGAAACGGAUUUAUCCGCCUAAAGAGAAGCUCGCGGCUGAUUAGCUUGUUGGUAAGGUAAGAGCUUACCAAGGCGACGAUCAGUAUCUGGUUUGAGAGGACGAUCAGACACACUGGAACUGAGACACGGCCCAGACUCCUACGGGAGGCAGCAGUGGGGAAUUUUCCGCAAUGGGCGAAAGCCUGACGGAGCAAUACCGCGUGAGGGAAGACUGCCUAUGGGUUGUAAACCUCUUUUUCAGGGAGGAAUAAAAUGACGUGUACCUGAAGAAUAAGCAUCGGCUAACUCCGUG